AAUGGGGGAAACCCUGAUCCAGCCAUGCCGCGUGAGUGAUGAAGGCCCUAGGGUUGUAAAGCUCUUUUGUGCGGGAAGAUAAUGACGGUACCGCAAGAAUAAGCCCCGGCUAACUUCGUGCCAGCAGCCGCGGUAAUACGAAGGGGGCUAGCGUUGCUCGGAAUCACUGGGCGUAAAGGGUGCGUAGGCGGGUCUUUAAGUCAGGGGUGAAAUCCUGGAGCUCAACUCCAGAACUGCCUUUGAUACUGAAGGUCUUGAGUCCGGGAGAGGUGAGUGGAACUGCGAGUGUAGAGGUGAAAUUCGUAGAUAUUCGCAAGAACACCAGUGGCGAAGGCGGCUCACUGGCCCGGUACUGACGCUGAGGCACGAAAGCGUGGGGAGCAAACAGGAUU
rnacentral:rRNA from 1 species